rnacentral:lncRNA from 1 species
AAAGGUAACUUUACCUUACUUAAAUGUCCUGCCUUAAAGAAAGCAUUUCCAUGAUUUUAGUUGGUUUCAUGAAAGGGUUAAUAUCAGCAAAGCUUUAUAAGAGUGUGUGCUCAGGUGCAUACUGAUGUAACAGAUGAUCCAUGCAAGUGCAGUUUUGUCUUGUCACUCUUUUGUCAUGUCUUGUCAUUAGUUCAUGACUGUGCAAAGUCAGCUUAUGUUUCACAACCAUAAGAAUUUUUUUUAAUACACUGCUCAUGCCAAACCUUUUUGAGCCAUAGGAUCCAAGCCAUAAAAUUCUUUAUGCAUAUUGAAUCCAGUUGGUAAAAGACAAGAUUUGCUUUAAAAUUCAGUAAAUAAAAGUGAAAUCCUGCCACUGUAUCCAAAAGUGGAUUUAGAAGUAAUUUUUUUUUUCCCACUUGUGGCAGUAUCUGAAAUGAUUGUUAAAUGUUCCACUUUGAAAAUGUUUUUUUGGAUCUGGGGGAAAAAAGUUUUUUCUUUAAAUUUUUUUGUAUUGCAGCAGGUAUUUUUGAGAACUUCCCAGUAUUGCUCGAUGGAUAGUUGUUCAGGACAGAAAUUAAACUUCAAUGACUAACAUCUUUUGUUUUUUUUUUUUUUUUUUGGUUUAUUUGUGGCAUUUGGCAAAAAUGUAGAACUCAGUGAUGGUCACGUCUAUUGGCAGAGGGGUUUUAUUAUGAACUUUUGACAUUCUAUUGCUUGUAUCCAAGCAUAUGAACAUACUGUCAAUGUACUUGGCCAAAUUCUAGUAAUGUUCUUCCACCAAAAGUCUCCUUCAGUCCUACUAAGAACAUUUGCACUGUGAUUGGCUAGCUAUAUAUCCUAUUCAUAAUAUGAUCUUUUUAAAAUUAGUAAGAGUGACACAAAUAACAAUCUUUUUUUUCCUGGUCACACAAGUAGUGUUAACUAUAUACCCACAUACUUAGUGUGUGUGUGAUGUUUGGUGUGUGUGUGGGAUGUGUGUGUGUAUGUGUGUUAUCUCCAGCUUAAUGGCCAUUAAAAAUGAACUUGACUUCCAUGCUGUCACAUGCUAAGAAAUCAUACUUUUCAUGAUGAUAUCCCUGACAUGACUGUGAAAACAUGGUGUCACAGACAGCAAGCACACACCUAUGCAAUAUGGCUUAUUCUAUUCAAUUCAACAAACAUCCAUUUAAAAAACAUUUGUUGAAUUGAAUCCUAUAUUUAUUUGUAAAAAUUCAAAUGUAGUUUAAAG